UGAAUCCAUCCGUCGAUGAGGCGGGAGC
rnacentral:piRNA from 1 species